AGACGAAUCCCAAAAUGACAGCAAGAUAAAGAAAAUAAGUCACUAUUGGCACUUGGACUUAUUACAUUUUAAGAUAAAGCAAAUAAAACUAAUCUAUUUGGUCUUAGAAGGACCUUUCUCAGACUGAAUGCUCUUGUUGAUCAAAUUCCCCAAUUCACAUAGGUUCAUGAGGAAGAACGCUUUUGCCAAGUGUCCUCAUUCGUUUCCCUCAGCGUUCUGGCAGUCGGUGAUUCUCUUCCUCACUCUUCCUUCCAAUUCCAUAAGACUGUAUUCAAGAUAUUCCAGCUUUUUGCUAGAUUGAGGCCGCUCUUUUUCCAUUCAUUUAUUUGGUCACUUGAUGAAAGAUUCCUCCACUAGUCUAGAGAGAGUAAGGGCAUGCUAACCAUACCGAAAAUGGGGACCUCAUGCCUCAUUUUCUGCAAAACAAAGGGGUUAAUCCUCUCUCCCCCACCAGACUCAACUAUUUUUACAUUUAUGAUCAGUAUAUCAUCAUUUAGUUCUCAAAAUUAAUGUGCAGAAUGUGGUUGUGUCCGUUAGGAUUAUGAAAAACUCGAUGGAAUUUUGGAUAACACUUAUCUUAAAGGAUCAUUAUGUGAACAUCACAUUAAUCCGACUAGGUUUGACCAUGAUGUAUGCACAAUUUUGACCAGAGUAAGGCUAUUAUGGGUUUAAGACCGGUACCCUCAAGCAGACAACUUGAGGGGAAGGCAUAGAACCGUCGACUGCACCGCUGAUCGACUAGUUUUACCGCAAAUAAGACUUUCUGAAUUUAAGGGUAAUAAUAGAAAGAGUGCAACAACCCAUUAAGUGUUGCUAUAGGAUUUGAUACGGACGAGUGGAAUAUGAUAUGGAGCAUGUUUUAUGCAGCAAUUAAUAUUAUGUAGUCACGCGUAGGAAAAAAUAAAUACAAUAUUUAAAUAAUUGAAAGACAAUUAUAAAGGAAAACAAAGAGCCAAUUUAGUUUCAAGGAUAAAGAAUCAUAAAUUCAUAAAAUAAAACAAACAGUUAAAUUCAAAUAAGGGGAAAGUGUACGGAUAAAGCAUGCUUUGGCUAAUUCAAAAAUAAGUUCGUUAUGGUAAAAGUUUAAAGGUAUCCCUAACAGAGUUGCCAUGCUGUUGCGCCCCCUUUUGCCUCCCUUUUUACGAGGAAGAAGGUUUGGGUUUUGACAUUUAUUGGGGUAGUAACUCAUUUCCUUUUGGGAGUUGGGUAUUUUGAAGAGUCGCCACCUAAUGGAUUAUGGUGCAUUAGGGCACCUAGAGCGAUUAACUCUUGGAUUGGUUUGCAUUACCAGAGAAUUAGGGUAAGAGCUCGAAAUAACCUAGAGGGAAAGGUGUUAGGCAUCCUUCUUGGUCCAUAAUGGUGGGUCCCAGCCGAACAUAUACUUAUGAAUUAGUCCAUUAACAAAUAAAUAGUUGAAACACAUAAUUGCAAAUAAAGCAUAUUGGACAUUGUAUGACUCAAAUAAGACAGAGAAUUUUUGUAAGUUGUGUACAUAAAUAGUAAAGUUUUAAGCAAAGGAAAUUUGGGAAAUGAGGGGUCCUAUGUUGGUUAGCCUACAGGAUCAUCCCAUGCUAUGUCCGGUAAACACUCCUCAAUGAGGGGAUACACGUGACAUUAGCGUGUAAUCAUCAUAUCCUAUUUUACCCAAGUCCUUUCCCUUGGUCAUAGCCUAAAGCGUUCUAAUAACCUUGACAAUGUCCUAUGAGUGCACUACUCGUCCUUCCUAGUGGCCCUGGAAGUAUUUAGGUCCUCUAAAUCUGGGCAGUUCUAAACAAGCCCCUAAGGUUUAAAGGAGAAAAUACUAAGGCAACAAGCAAGAACACAUAGGACUUUAGAAAAUAAAAUCAGAAAGGAGCAAAUAAGAGGCUCAGGUUUACCUCCGCAGAUAAUGCAUGUAAACAGCACGACUCAAACACAAACAGUAGGCAAUAUUAUUAAACAUGAUCCUAAGACAUGAUGUCUAGGUGAGUAUCAAAACACAAGAGACAUGCAGAUUUAUUUAUUCUUAGACUUAGAAGCAGGGGCCUAAUCAGUUUGCCUACUGAUUUUUACAUCAUGUUAAUCAUUAAGCAGUAAACAUAAAGAGGCAGUUUUCAGUUUUAUAAGAAAUUUGAUUACCUAAGGCUUGCCUAGGCAUGGGAUAAUGCACAAUUGUUACCAGAACUAUUAAAACGGGGUAGGAGAUAUUUUACCUAAAGCAUGUUAUUUCGAGUUUUACAAGAUGCAAAAUUAUUACUAGUAUUACUUAAAUAGGGUAAUCAUAUGUGAGACUAUUUUAUAUCCCUUUUCAUGCAUGAGUAUUUUUACUAUGUGUGACUGAGCGAUUAUGAACGAGAUCCUAAACAUGGUAUCUAAUAUGCACAUAUAAGGUUUAGAAUGGGUUAUAUGCAGAAUUUCUAAAGCAGGAUUUCUAAAUUCAAAGCAGGUUACAACAUGAUUUCAAAAUAUGCAUAAGUAAUAGUUUAUUUUAAUGUUGUCGUUUAUCCUAAAACAUGAUUUCUAAGUGAUAAUUAUGAUGUCAAAAUGAGAUGUUGAAAAUAGUAUACAUAAAAGCUAGGAAUAUGUUAUCUAAUGCAUGAUAUGCUUUGCAUGUAUUGGUCCUAAACAUGAAUUCUAACGCACAAACAGAAAAAUAUAAACCUAAAGCAUGUUUUCUACCAUUUGAUAACAUGUAUAGCUAUCCUCCCCUUUUUUACCAGCUAGCCACAAUAUUCGUUUACAAUGAAUAUUAAAAACCAACACUGAAUGAAUUACAUUAAUAGAUAAAGAGAAAUAAGAAGUUACACUAUAGGAAGUCUGCAAGUAGGCGUAUAUUUUUAAAAACUUCAACUACUCAGAUUGUUUCACAGUAUUUCUCAAUAUCCGGGUAUAUCAAAGUUCCUUAAGGACCUCAAGGGAUCCCGAGCAAUACUCAUACCCAAAUUUCACAACCAUAUUUGAGUUAGUGCAGUGUGGAAGGGCCAGCUCUAAUGCAUCAGAGUUUAGAGGGAUCUCAUAGGGAUCCCUAAGCAGUCAUACAUUAGAGGGGAAGAACUUAGGGAUCUAAGAAUAGAGCGAGAGUGCUUGACAUAGUAUUGACAAAAAGUUAAAGUAGGAAAAUUUUUUAAAAGAGACGUGAAAAUAGUUUUGUAAACAACAAAGGAGUUUCAAUAAGACAGUUUUGAAAAAAGUAGGUCAAUUAACAAACAACAGACCAACCUAAUAACUAAAAUAGGUUCAGUAUCACACAUAGAACAAAGAACCAAGACAGGUUUAGCACCACAAGCCUUUACGUAGGGGUAAAUGGGAAUUGGGGGCAGGUAAAACAUAUAAUGGUAAACACAUAACAGGCAAAAGUCUUUGGAAUUGGUCCAGACAUGCUCAGAAACAUUGACUAGACAUAGUCAUAGAAUCAACAAUGCUUAAGGGGUUCAGUAUAGGAUCAACAUAAUUUAAAAUCAAUCCUAACACUAUACAAGUUUAGGAGUGUAGACAACUUUAUAAGGAGAUUCAUGCCAGAAACUAGAUAGAGCAAGAUCACAUAGAGCAGACUACAUGGGGCUGGGGUGAGGUAAUUUGUUAAUACUGAUCGCAAGGAAGGGGAGUACAUAACAUGCUAAUAAUGUAAACAUAUCUACUACAGUUCACUGCAAAACCAUAAUUAAAGACGAGUAGAAACAUGAUGAAUUGAAGUAAUAAAAGGACCAUAUUAUUUUUGGAACUUGAAUUGAAAUCAGAACAUACUAGUAACGAAGGUAGUAAACACAAAGUGAGGAGUAAGAGAGUAGUGUAAUCAGCAUUGGCUUGCAGUCGACUGACUUAGAACAAUAGCAAGUAAUUAGAGAAAUGAGAGCAUAAGAGAGUUUUUGUGUGAGAGAGUUUUUGAACCAAUGUGUUCAUGUCCAUGUGCUAAUGAAAGAGCAAGGUACUUAUAGUAUAAAAACAGGUAGAAAAUAAGGCAAGAAUCAUUGUUCAUCAGUAAUUACGGAACUAUGUAUUAUUAGAAUCAAAUCACUAUAAGUACUUCCUUUAAUUAAGGAAUUAAAUUUAAACAACAACAGGAAAAUACUAAAUAAGGAAGGAAAUCACAUAAGGCUGAAUAUAACAAAUAAGGAAAUAUUUUUAGCAUAGUACAAGUACACAACAUGUAAUAGAGACUAGGUUCAGCAGAUUCUAAUCAAGGAAAAUAAUUAAGAAUCCGUUGACAGCAUGCUCAACCAUAGAUUAAUGUAAGAAAAUAUCUUAAAGGUUAAAAUUAAUAGAGAACAUCAUAAGAAAUCAGUGAAAGAUCAGUCACAGAGAUUCAAAGAUUUAAAAAUAGCAAAUAGUACUGAUUUAGGAGAAAUUGACACAAAUUUAUGCGAACAAGUGGAAUAAAAACAUAAUAGGAAAGAAUUAGAAACCCUAAUAAGCCAAAUAAGGUAAAAUCAUAUAAAAUUAGGGAAUUACAUAGAGCAUAACAUGAACUAAUAGAAUAAACAUGACAUAGGAAGAAGAAGUAAAAGUCAGAGACACUGAUGAACAAAAUAGGGUAAAGCCACAGAGAAUCAUAAGGCUCAUGAGAAACAAGGACAUAUACAGAUUAAGCGAACAUAUUAUCAUAAAACAGACUUAGAAUCUAGGAUUAAAACCAAGAAACUUAGGGUUUUCAACAUAAUAACUCAGAUAAAAAGAAAAAACUCAAAUAAACAUUUAAAUAUAGUGAAAAUCAUAGAUUAAUACUAAAAUCAGAAGUAAAAGCCAUUUUGAGAAGGGGUUAAAAAACCCUAGUUUGAAGGUAAAGAGGCGUUUUAGAAAAAUAGGAAAACCUUUAAGGAAAACAACAAAAUAACUCGGAAUACCCAGAUCUAUUACAAAUCUAAGAAAUCAAGAGCUAAUAGUUAGGGUUUCAGAUAGAUAACCCAAAGAGAAAAAGAAUCCGCCUAGAAACCACAGGUUCUAGCAGAAGAUGGCAGGAUCUUACUCGGACAGGUCAAGAUUGGCCUGAGAAUGACAUAAAAAAUCAUGGGGGUGAGUUGAACCACCUCUGGUUCCUUUGAGGACCUCAAGGCAGCAGUAACCCGGGGUAGAAAGGAGCCAUGAAGGCUGGGAUGGUAGUGAGAUCACCGAAGUUACCGGAAAGUCGAUGGCCGAUUAGAGCUUUAGCUUUUAGCAGAGAGAAUCUGAGAGGUGAGGGGAGAGUGUAAC
rnacentral:lncRNA from 1 species